ensembl:antisense
CAACACUCACUCUCACAAAGGAAGACUGCCAAUGGACGAGCAAGUAUGAGCAAGAGCUGGGAUUCUGUCUCUGGACAAGAGGCAGGUUCAGGCAGCGUGGGGGCCAAGCUCUCUCAGGAACCAUUCUUUUAACUGCCUCACCAAUAACAUGUGUCUCCCACACCUGAGAGGGUAGGCUACUAUUGUCAUUAAAUUAAAUUCUCACUGUU